ACGAACGCUGGCGGCGUGCUUAACACAUGCAAGUCGUACGGUAAGGCCCUUUCGGGGGUACACGAGUGGCGAACGGGUGAGUAACACGUGAGUAACCUGCCCACAACUUUGGGAUAACGCUAGGAAACUGGUGCUAAUACUGGAUAUGUGCUCCUGCUGCAUGGUGGGGGUUGGAAAGCUCCGGCGGUUGUGGAUGGACUCGCGGCCUAUCAGCUUGUUGGUGGGGUAGUGGCCUACCAAGGCGGCGACGGGUAGCCGGCCUGAGAGGGUGACCGGCCACAUUGGGACUGAGAUACGGCCCAGACUCCUACGGGAGGCAGCAGUGGGGAAUAUUGCACAAUGGGCGCAAGCCUGAUGCAGCAACGCCGCGUGCGGGAUGACGGCCUUCGGGUUGUAAACCGCUUUCAGCAGGGACGAAGCUUUUUGUGACGGUACCUGCAGAAGAAGCUCCGGCUAACUACGUG
rnacentral:rRNA from 1 species